GCAUAUCAAUAAGCGGAGGAAAAGAAACCAACAGGGAUUGCCCUAGUAACGGCGAGUGAAGCGGCAACAGCUCAAAUUUGAAAUCUGGCCCCCUCCGGGGUCCGAGUUGUAAUUUGCAGAAGAGUCUUCGGGUGUGGCCCCGGUCUAAGUCCCUUGGCACAGGACGUCAUAGAGGGUGAGAACCCCGUAUGUGACCGGGCGCCUACGCCUAUGUGAAGCUCUUUCAACGAGUCGAGUUGUUUGGGAAUGCAGCUCAAAAUGGGUGGUAUAUUCCAUCUAAAGCUAAAUAUUGGCCAGAGACCGAUAGCGCACAAGUAGAGUGAUCGAAAGAUGAAAAGCACUUUGAAAAGAGAGUCAAAUAGUACGUGAAAUUGUUAAAAGGGAAGCUCUUGCUACCAGACGCGGGCGCCGUUGAUCAUCCUAGGUUCUCCUGGGUGCACUCGGCGGUGCUCGGGUCAGCAUCGGUUUGGGUGGCGGGACAAAGGCCUUGGGAAUGUAGCUCCCCCCUCGGGGGGAGUGUUAUAGCCCUCGGUGUAAUGCCGCCUACCCGGACCGAGGACCGCGCUUCGGCGAGGAUGCUGGCAUAAUGGUCGUAAGCGGCCCGUCUUGAAACACGGACCAAGGAGUCUAACAUCUAUGCGAGUGUUUGGGUGGUAAACCCAUUCGCGGAAUGAAAGUGAACUUAGCUGAGAACCCCUCGGGGCGCACCAGCGACCGAUCCUGAUGUCUUCGGACGGAUUUGAGUAUGAGCAUAGCUGUUGGGACCCGAAAGAUGGUGAACUAUGCUUGCAUAGGGUGAAGCCAGAGGAAACUCUGGUGGAGGCUCGCAGCGGUUCUGACGUGCAAAUCGAUCGUCAAAUGUGGGCAUAGGGGCGAAAGACUAAUCGAACCAU
rnacentral:rRNA from 1 species